rnacentral:rRNA from 1 species
UCUACGGGAGGCAGCAGUAGGGAAUAUUGCUCAAUGGGGGAAACCCUGAAGCAGCAACGCCGCGUGGAGGAUGAAGGUUUUCGGAUUGUAAACUCCUUUUGUUAGAGAAGAUAAUGACGGUAUCUACCGACUAAGCACCGGCUACCUCCGUGCCAGCAGCCGCGGUCAUACGGCGGGUGCAAGCGUUACUCGGAAUCACUGGGCGGAAAGAGCGCGUAGGCGGGAUAGCAAGUCAGAUGUGAAAUCCUAUGGCUUAACCAUAGAACUGCAUUUGAAACUGUUAUUCUAGAGUAUGGGAGAGGUAGGUGGAAUGCUUGGUGUAGGGGUAAAAUCCGUAGAGAUCAAGAGGAAUACUCAUUGCGAAGGCGACCUGCUAGAACAUAACUGACGCUGAUGCGCGAAAGCGUGGGGAGCAAACAGGAUUAGAUACCCUUGUAGUC